AUGGGAGCACCAAGAGGACCUCGCCGUCUUCGCCUUCGCAACCGUCGCCACCGUUGCCCACUCCGCUCCCCACGGGCUCGCUCUAGCUUUAUAGCCUUCGCCACCUUUGUGCUCAACGUGCCGACUGUGCCCCCACCCCCGCCCCCACCUCCGCAGGACCCACCAAGCUACCACCCUGACUGCGAGGCUUUGGUCAACGACCAGAUCCGGCUGCAGCUCUACGCUUCCCACAUCUACCUGUCCAUGGCCUUCUACUUCAGCCGUGUCGAUGUGGCCCUGAGUCGUUUCUCAGGUUUGUUUUUGCGCCGUUCUCAGCAGUGGAGAGAAGGAGCUGAGAACCUCAUGUGGAUGCAGAACAAGCGAGGUGGGCGUGUCAUUCUUAACAAGAUCAAGGCGCCCAACAGCGAGGAAUGGCACAGCAGCUUCCACACUGUGCGAUGUGCCUUACAACUGGAGAACACUCUCCACCAGAGCCUCCAAGAAUUGCACAGCCUUGCAGCUGACAAGAAUGACUCUGAACUGUGUGCUUUCGUGCUAUGCCACUACCUAAACCCUCAGAUUCCUGUCCUCAAGGAGUUAGGCGAGUACAUGACCCAACUUCGCAAGAUGGGGGACCAGGGGGUGGGCUUGGUGAACUACCUCCUUAGCAAGCUGAGCUUGAAGAGUGGCAACAAAAAGAACUGA